UACCUACCUCCAGCAGCCGUUUGGCCUCCUAAAUCUCAAGAAAUCCAUCUGGUCUCUCCUCCUCUGUUUUCCGGUGAGCCACGCCGGCAAGACUUCGACGACGCAUAGCACCUCCUAGGUAAGCCGUCGUGCCUUCCUUUCAAUACGAUACUCAUCCUCAUCAAGUUACGGUUCUAAGCCACCCAUUUUCCCUUCAGGUCAGUGGGUUUUGGUCGGUGAACCAUUCGACGACGAGCAACUCCGAUGGAGGAUCCAUAGAACUAGAUAGCAGCUAGGUAAGGAUCGUUUGGUCUAUUCCCUGCCUUCCUCUACUUUCAUUUGAGCUCUCCUGAAGUCUAACUCAACCUACAAACACCGCCAUUGAUAGAUUCAAGCUCCGCCGGAGCUGUCACCGUCUCCUCCUCGACUUGGGACUCCAGAGCGAACCAAGGCCUCCAAAUCACCCCUCCGCCCGCUUCAAAAUCAGGUGAGGAGUGCUUCCCCUAAGAUUACUCGAAGUUUCAUGAAGAUCUGAGGGUGAAUGGACUCGCUAGAGUCGAACUCCGGUCACCGGAUUCUGGGUUCUGGUUUCUGAGUUAUCGGGGAAGACGACUGGAAGAAAUUCUGUGAUGGUGUCUAAAGUUUCAGUGAUUGCAUUUUUGUCACUGGACUUCUUGAGGCCAGAUCCGGUCAUUUAAGUUUUCUAAAUCGCUAGCGUAAAACAAAAACUUUAAAAGUUUUGACUGAUUGAUUAAUAACUAGUCAUAUAUAACUGUCGUGACCCUGCACUUUGGGAUUAUGACAUUUUGACCCAAAAUGAGUAUAAAAGCUAUUUAAAUACUAAGGGUUAACCCUAAUUGAUCCCGAUAUGGUAUUAAAAGAUCUUAAGGAUAAAUAUUGGACCUCUAAAGGCGAGUCACGAACGAAGUUUUAGUAAACCGAACACUUAACUACUCACGAGCAGCUUGGUUCAGCUAACUAUUUCUAAACUUGCAAAAGAAUAUUAUGAUGUUAGAUUUUUAAUAAGAAGAAAAAGAGACGCAUGUUGAAUUGGAUGUUUAUAUAUAUAGUCCACUUGUGUGAAAGAAGUUAUCAUCUAUAUAUUGUAGUCUCCUUGCUUUUUCGGAAGAAAACACACCCGGAGUUCUAGAGUUAGAAGCAGCUGGCUAGACCUCCAAGUCUCUGCUGUAAUGUAUAUAUUCUUCUCCUUUCCAGUCUUCAUUAUCUAGUCUAGCUGUUUCUCUUUUCGUUAUUCUCUUAGCUUGGCGUUUUUGCUGUCAAGUUCCAGCUGCAUCUUUUGAUUAUCGAUUCAUUUUCAUCAUUUGUGGUUUUGGUUCUUAGGGACUAAGUAUAGCCUAUUCUUUAAUGGUUGCUUUGCUGCUACUAUUCUCACUUUCAAUAAAGUAACUUUGUGGCUGGUGGAAAUAUAUAUAUACAUGCCUUUCCAUUUGAUAAAAAACGCACACUACAUUAUUGAAAUAGUUGAAGAGAAAAACAAAUAG
rnacentral:lncRNA from 1 species